rfam:Gossypium raimondii Chr03_contig_637, whole genome shotgun sequence.
AAUCCAUGCAUUGGACAAAUCCUAAUUAACUCCUUAAAUUGCUCCUACGCUUCAUAUAGCGUUUCAUCUUCAAAUUUUCGAAAGGGUGUAAUAUCAUUUCUCAACUU